CCUUUUUAACAGGUUUCACCGUUACACAGUUCACUUCUCCACACGGCAGUGAAAUCUGCCUUCUGGAACGUUCCCCCAUUUGUUCCUGCUCUCUAAAGCUACAGAGGUGCCCACUGGCUCAACCUGACAUUUCUUCAAACACUUGAAGACAGGUGUCAUAGCGCCUAACUGAACUCCUCUCCUCCAGUAAGAUAACUUCAGUCCCUCUCCUGAACUUCUUAUAGGCAGUGCGUUUACCCAGAAAAUAGGUGAGAAACAUCUGUAGGCACCUCAGGCUCAGCUAAGUUGUUUAUUCAGUUUAUUCUUAUCAUAUUUAUUCAAAUCAAUAAUUGUUUUAACACACUGAUGAUAAAUGCUAAAGGAGGCUCAUAGUUCUCCAGGUCAGAGGCUCAUAGUUCACCAGGUCAGAGGCUCAUAGUUCACCGGGUCAGAGGCUCAUAGUUCGCCAGGUCAGAGGCUCAUAGUUCCCCAGGUACAUGGCCUUGGGAAGGAUUUGCUCCAGGCCGAAACCCAAAACUGCCUUUGGUGGAAGUGACCUGAGAGGUGAAUGAGGACGUACUCUCCAGGGAGAAAGAAGAAUGUGGGCAGUGAGAGGGACAUGUGAUGGAC
ensembl:lncRNA